CUACGUGCCAGCAGCCGCGGUAAUACGUAGGGUGCGAGCGUUAAUCGGAAUUACUGGGCGUAAAGCGAGCGCAGACGGUUACUUAAGCAGGAUGUGAAAUCCCCGGGCUCAACCUGGGAACUGCGUUCUGAACUGGGUGACUAGAGUGUGUCAGAGGGAGGUAGAAUUCCACGUGUAGCAGUGAAAUGCGUAGAGAUGUGGAGGAAUACCGAUGGCGAAGGCAGCCUCCUGGGAUAACACUGACGUUCAUGCUCGAAAGCGUGGGUAGCAAACAGGAUUAGAUACCCUGGUAGUCCACGCCCUAAACGAUGUCAAUUAGUUGUUGGGCAACUUGAUUGCUUAGUAGCGUAGCUAACGCGUGAAAUUGACCGCCUGGGGAGUACGGUCGCAAGACUAAAACUCAAAGGAAUUGACGGGGACCCGCACAAGCGGUGGAUGAUGUGGAUUAAUUCGAUGCAACGCGAAGAACCUUACCUGGUCUUGACAU
rnacentral:rRNA from 1 species